rnacentral:rRNA from 1 species
AUCAGAGCCAAUUACCAGCCGGAAGUGAGGUUAAGAGAGUUAAGCGUGCUAGGACGGGAGUAGUCCUAGGAUGGGUGACCCCCUGGGAAGUUGGGGCGUCACAGAUG